GAGCGUGGGCUCUACAAAACACAUGUGCUUUCAGUACGUUUUGUGUGUGGUGGAUCUGCCCUUGAGGUUCCUGUUUUCUGUAGGUGACCCAGUGUGCUUGGUUAGUUUCUGAAUUUGCCUCCCUUACUUAGAACACAACUAGAAUCUGUUUGGGAGAAAUUAAUGUUUCGUAUGUGAAAUGUUUUCAGGAAGCAGGGUGACUAACUGGCUACCUCUUUAUGAGGGUAAUGGCAGCUCUUACCUUUCUGAGCAAGCUGAGCUGAGAUACAGAAUUGUUUGUUAAUUUAAGAUGGACUUUCACAUUCACACAUUUCACAUGUAUGGCACAUGCAUUGAACAUACAUAAUGGCCUUUCUGUUUUCCCAAACUAAUUUAUUUAACAGUUUCUCUAACAAUCUCUCUCCUUUGUGUACAGUUCUUGAGAGAAGCUGAAGUACUGGUCUAGAGAGACGGCUCAGUGCCCUUGUUUAUGCUGUGGUCAUCUCAUUGAAAAGGUUACAUGGAAGGCACAGUGGGGGUGGGGGAUAGCUGAUCCAUGGGAUGCCCCUCUUUUCCUUUAGGCCAUAUCCUGUACCCACACCCGGUGUCCAGGCUCGGUGGUACAGAUACAGCCCUUCCCUUUGGGGAAUGCCUAGGUCUGUGCUCUAAUGCACAUCAUCUGGACCCCAUGAGUAGAGUUCUUCCCCUCCUAGACAUGUACUGGGGAUUCUUUUCAAGACAUUAACUUGUUUAGAGGCUUGUCUAAACAAACUAUAGCUUGGGAAUACUACUGAUGUUUAAAGGUUUGGGUUUUUUUUUUUAAAGUUUUUAAGUUUUAUAUUUUUUGAGAUAGUCUCACUUUGUAGCCCAGAUUGGCUUUGAGCUUGUGAUCCUUCUGUCUCAGCCUAUCAGGUACCAGGAUUGCAGGUGUGUACCACUGUGCAUGGCUCCUCCUUUUUAAGUCAAAAUGUUUACGUUUCAUCACUGAAAGUGGUUGGGAUAGAAUAGUUUUAAAGUUUCCUUCCUAGAAAGAAAAAUACUCUUGUCUGCAUAUAGUGUUGAUGAUAGUAGAUGUGUUUUCCAUGAAGAAAUUUAGAAACACCCUCACUCUUUGCCUGUACUCACCUUUACUCUUGAGCUCUACCUGUUGGAUGGACAAACAGGAAGCUCCCCUCAUGCUCAUGGUCGCCCUAUGAUCUGGCAGAACAUUCACCCAAGGUUCUAGCCUAAGUAUUAGCCCCGCCUUAAGAUGUCCCAGGAGCAGCUUGUUUAUACGCUACCAUGGCGUUGUGUAAGUAGGAUCCAGCACCUACUAAGAAGCAAUCUUUGUCAGCCCACUGAUGAACCAUUUAGCUAAACCACACUGUAACUCUUUUUUAAGCUAAAUGAUAUCUCAGUGCCUUGAAAGUUAAGAACCUAAGGGAGGGCUGGGGUUUGGCACCAAUGAGCUGGCUCUGUGCACUUCACCUACAGAAAGAUUCCAGAGCUUAAGGUGAGCCACUGAGACAAGUCCAGCUACUUAACUUUCUACAGUUCCAGUUCCAUAGAAGUUAGCCACUGUGACAGAUGACAACUGCUUUUACCACCCUUCACCACACGGGGGCAUUCUCCUCUUUCUCCUUUUUUUUCUUUCUUUUUUUCCAAGUAAGUAUGAAAUUAGAAAACUGUAGUCAAACAAAUUAAAUGUGGGAUUUUAAAGUUGAGUUUUAUGUAAACUAGAGAUUCCUGUGUGGACAGUGUUAGUUUAAUAUUGUAGUACAAAGGCAGACACUUUAUGUAACCUUUAGAAAUAUGUUUACCAUCAGGGAUUUAUUUUUACGAUAGAAAUACUAAAUGUACUGUGAAGUUUAAAGACAGGAAGGAUAGACAUUGGAGGAUGAUACUCAGACAGAAGUGUGUUUGAUGAACCCGCAUUAUGUGAACACGAUUUCCCCUUCUGUUACGACUAUAGACUACACUGUAUGAGGAUGUGUAUUGCAUGUUUACAUAAAACAAUUUCAUUUUGAAGGAUUAUUUAAACUGUGUUUAUAUGUAAUACCUAACAGGUUGUAAAUAUUGUAUACUAUUGAUUUUUAAUUUUAUAUGAGCAAUUUUUUUAUUUCCCAAGUCAUGUACAAAUCUCAUUGUGUAUAUAGCAUAACUCCCUGGAGACACAAAUUUUGCAGUGAAUUUUAAGUAUUUUAAUCGCAGUAAGCAUCAGGUUAGCCUCAGAGAUGCUGGUCCUUAUUUUAAAUUAUUUUUCACCACACAUUUUCUUCAAAGGGCAGCAAUAAACAUAUGCAAGUUACUUUGAUUCUUGAAAGUUGGCCUCAGAAGAUAAGAAUGCAGUUCAGUUCACUGCUGUAAAGGGAGACGCACAACUUACACCAUCUGCGUCUGGUCCCAGGACAACUUCCGAGAUCCAUCUGCACAUGGCUCUCCUCUUUGUAAUAUACAGGGUGAACUGCUGAAAACACACAGAAUAUAUGUUAAAGUGAGUCCAGCACUUCAAUGUCAUUACACAGAAUUUAUUGGAUUAAAGUUUGUAAUAUACAGUAUUUUAAUAAAGUUUCUGUAUUCAAUUUCAUGCACUUAUAUAUAAAUAAACCUGUCUUUAAAAACUUUAUACAGUGAUG
rnacentral:lncRNA from 1 species